rnacentral:rRNA from 1 species
GAUGAACGCUGGCGGCGUGCUUAACACAUGCAAGUCGAACGGAAAGGCCAGUGCUUGCACUGGUACUCGAGUGGCGAACGGGUGAGUAACAAGUGGGUGAUCUGCCCUGCACUUCGGGAUAAGCCUGGGAAACUGGGUCUAAUACCGGAUAGGACAAUGGUUUGGAUGCCGUUGUGGAAAGUUUUUUCGGUGUGGGAUGAGCUCGCGGCCUAUCAGCUUGUUGGUGGGGUAAUGGCCUACCAAGGCGUCGACGGGUAGCCGGCCUGAGAGGGUGUACGGCCACAUUGGGACUGAGAUACGGCCCAGACUCCUACGGGAGGCAGAAGUGGGGAAUAUUGCACAAUGGGCGCAAGCCUGAUGCAGCGACGCCGCGUGGGGGAUGACGGCCUUCGGGUUGUAAACUCCUUUCGCUAGGGACGAAGCGUAUUUGUGACGGUACCUGGAGAAGAAGCACCGGCUAACUACGUG